rnacentral:rRNA from 1 species
GACGGAGGUGGCGAGCGUUGUUCGGAAUCACUGGGCAUAAAGGGCACGUAGGUGAUCGAGUAGGUCAAGGGUGAAAUCCCCCGGCUCAACCGGGGAACUGCCUUUGAAACCCCUCGGUUUGAGUGGAAGAGGGGAGAGUGGAACUCGCGGUGGAGCGGUGAAAUGCGUAGAUAUCGCGAGGAACGCCGGUGGCGAAAGCGACUCUCUGGCUUCUAACUGACACUGAGGUGCGAAAGCUAGGGGAGCGAACGGGAUUAGAUACCCGUGUA